AUGAGCGCGACCUCCCGCGGGCGGGGCGAUUUGCUUGGCGGCUACUGGAGAGCUUGGGAGCUAUGGGUUUAUGUAUACUUCCCAUCGUUAGCCCCAGUGCUGGAGGUGGUGGGGAUUCCCGUGACCCCAUAUUCAUUGAUAUUUGAGGGCCCGCACCGGGCGAGGCCUCGAGAGACCCUGGUUCGCCUGCGACAGUACUUCGACACUGUGCGACACUCAGAGAUUACUUGGCAGCCUUGGGCACCCCUGGGUGAUGAUCUCCUACUUCAGUAUACCGGAGCAUCAGGCAUCUCCCGGUAUAGGGUCCUGCUCGAAGGGCCAGUCGGCAGAGUCUGGUUCCUGGGGGAGCGCUUUCUAUGCCAGGUACGGGGGUAUCUUU